UCUUCUUUAAAUAUUCCUCGCCACAGAAGAUAGUGGAAGCGAGAAAAUCUACCUUCUUUCAUAGCUGCUUCUCGAAAGAAAGCCAUGGAAAAACCCACGUAUCUGAGAAAAGGAGAGAAGAAAGAUGAUGGGCUUUUUUCAUGUUGGGCCCACUUCAAGCUCAUUAGGAUUCCAUGGCAAAAGAGAGAGAGACAAGGACUAGAUCGCGGCAAGCUCACAAGAGCUGUUUUCUUCAGAACCAGGCAUGCAAAACCAGGUAGUUUCAGGUUUGCUGUCCGUACGUCGAAACCGCUUCCAGAUCGAUGAAUGGCGGUUUUGGAGGAACGUCGGUGGUUUUGGGUGGGCGGUUUUUGUUUUUUUUUUUGGGUGGAGUUCGUUUUGCCUCUGUCGCGACUCAGAAUCUUGGGUGUGUCGUUGCCCAAUGGGGUCCACAUGCUGAGUGGUCGGAUGUUUGGAACCGUCCAUGUUGUCGAAUCUAUGCUUUAUGGGUCACUUUAAGAAAAUUGCAGUGAAUGGACGGUUGGGACCAUCACUGUCUGUAGAUGAAUUUGUAACCAUGAAGAGAAUAUUUUCAAUGGUUCGCUUUCAACUCUAGAAAUCAACGGUUAGGAUCAUCAGUGAAGUGUGAUUGUAGGAGAAUAGCUCAUAUGAUGCAGUAAGGAGAAUAUGGACGGUUCAAUUCAUCGGACCACUCCUGCAUGUGGGUCACAGUGGGUGACUGUACACGCUUGAUCCUGAGUCGCGACGAGGUAAAACCAACUUGGGUGGUUUUCUCAUUUCUGUACGUGGUGGCCGUGUGGCGUGGUAUAUAUUUCGAGGUCUUUCUUGUACGUCGCGACUGAGGUUCAUCUAGACUCAUCUCUAUGUGAGGCCUACAUAGAGAUAUGGGUUGAAGAUCGAAACCGUUAGUCUUGGUGGUAUUGUUGAUGGGUCAUGAUAUGUAACUUUAAUUGAAUAAUAAUUAAUUUAGCUGUGAACUGUUGAGUAGGA